AGGGGCCAGUACUACUGAGUGUACAC
rnacentral:piRNA from 1 species